UUUUUUUUUUUUUUUUUUUAAUUAAGUUAUUUGUUUAAAAAUUAACAAAUUAAUUAGACUAUUUAUUUUACAAUUUCUUUAUUUUUACUACUCGUCUAUUUUUCAUAACACUUUUUAACACCACUGUUCAUAUUUGUACCAACAUACACAUAUUAAUACAUAUUGUAUUUUUGUUAUAUAUAUUGUAUUGUGUUGUAUAUGUUGUAUGUAUUGUAUUGUUUUUUUUUUUUUUUUUUUUGUACUUGGAACUUGUAACUAAAUAUUCAUAUAUAUAUAUAUAUGUAUAUACAUACAUUACAUGUGCAAAGCUUAAAAUUAUCAAAUUAAAUAAGAUUCUAAAAACAUGUCAAAAAAAAAAUGUUAUUAUUAUAUAUAAUUUUUGUCGUCUUACCAUUUCUCAUAUUUUCUUAUUUCGUAUAUAAAAAUGUUUGUACUAUUAUUAACGAAAAAAAUAAAAGAAACGAGUUUUUCAGUAACUUAGCAUUUGAAAACAAGCAGUAUACUGCUUUUGAAAACUUUGUCAAAAAAUAUGAAAUUGAAAAAUAUAAAUAUUAUUUAAAAGUUGUUAGAAAUAUUGAAGUAAAUUAUAAUAUGGAAAUACUUGAAAAGUUAAUUACAGAAAAUAAUGAAUUAGAAAAAAAAAAACGAGGAAUAUAUACAAAAUUUAUUAAAUAAUAUUGAUAAAGAUGAUAAAUAUGUACAGGAUAAUGAAAUAAAAAACCCUCAAAAUAGUUGGAUGAGAAAAUUAGCUAAUGAAGACAUAGUAAAGUUAAAAGUUUCCCUUUUAAAGAAAGCAAUUUGUUUUAUUCCAAUUUGUAAUAAAUUAUUUCAGGACAAAAAUAAAAGACAUUUGUUAUAUAAUAACUAUUAUAUUGAUGAUAAAAUGUCUAAAGAGCUAGAUGGCCAAUGUGCUGAGUUUUUAGAAGAAUUCGAUUUUAUUAUAUAUGAAGCCAAUUGUCUAUCACCUAACUGGGGCGAAACAAUUAUAGUAGACGCGUACAAAAUUUAUCAUCAUAACAAAUUAAAAAAAAAAAAAAAAAUAAAAAAAAAAAAAAA
rnacentral:lncRNA from 1 species